rnacentral:rRNA from 1 species
GCCAGACUCCUACGGGAGGCAGCAGUGGGGAAUAUUGCACAAUGGGGGAAACCCUGAUGCAGCGACGCCGCGUGAGUGAAGAAGUAUUUCGGUAUGUAAAGCUCUAUCAGCAGGGAAGAAAAUGACGGUACCUGAUUAAGAAGCCCCGGCUAACUACGUGCCAGCAGCCGCGGUAAUACGUAGGGGGCAAGCGUUAUCCGGAUUUACUGGGUGUAAAGGGAGCGUAGACGGCAAUACAAGUCGGAAGUGAAAUACCCGGGCUUAACCUGGGAACUGCUUUGGAAACUGUAUGGCUGGAGUGCUGGAGAGGUAAGCGGAAUUCCUAGUGUAGCGGUGAAAUGCGUAGAUAUUAGGAGGAACACCAGUGGCGAAGGCGGCUUACUGGACGACUACUGACGCUGAGGCUCGAAAGCGUGGGGAGCAAACAGGAUUAGAUACCCGAGUA